rnacentral:rRNA from 1 species
GUGAGGAAUAUUGCGCAAUGGAGGCAACUCUGACGCAGCCAUGCCGCGUGCAGGAAGAAGGCGCUACGCGUUGUAAACUGCUUUUAACCGGGAAGAAACCCCAGGACGUGUCCUGGGUUGACGGUACCGGAGGAAUAAGCACCGGCUAACUUCGUGCCAGCAGCCGCGGUAAUACGAAGGGUGCAAGCGUUAUCCGGAUUCAUUGGGUUUAAAGGGUGCGUAGGCGGAGCGUUAAGUCAGUGGUGAAAUCCUGCAGCUUAACUGUAGACUUGCCAUUGAUACUGGCGCUCUUGAGUACGCUUGAAGUGGACAGAAUGUGCCGUGUAGCGGUGAAAUGCUUAGAUAUGGCACAGAACACCAAUUGCGAAGGCAGCUCACUAAGGCGAUACUGACGCUGAGGCACGAAAGCGUGGGGAUCGAACAGGAUUAGAUACCCUAGUAGUCC